rnacentral:tRNA from 1 species
GCGCGCCGACGGUGUGCCCGUACGCCGCGCUGGUGACGUAGCCGACGGGCCGGCCGUCGGCGUAGACGGGUUCGCUGCCCAUCGGCACGCA